GGGGACAUAGUUCAGUGGUAGAGUGCGUGCUCAGCAUGCAAGAGGUCCUGGGUUCAAUCCCCAGUCCCUCUA
rnacentral:tRNA from 1 species